rnacentral:lncRNA from 1 species
UUUCAUUUCUAUCCUGCCUUCCCCAGGCCUCUUCAUGGCUGAUUAAACUCUGUCUCAGCAUCCUCUCUCUGUAAAUUGUAGGCACUGAAUGUUUGUGUCCUUCAACAUUUAUAUGCCCAAAGUCUCAACCACCAGAGUGACUCUGUGUCUAUGAAACUAAUUACCAUUAAGUGGUGUCCUGAUAGAGUGAGCCUGACUCUAUGGAACUGGUGUCUCUAGAAGGAGACAAUGUCUGUGGCAGGAAGAGUCCUCACCAGAAGCCAAUCCUGACAGCUUGACCUUGGCCUGCUAUCCUCCACAAGAAGAACAUAUUCUGCCAUUUCCUCCUCUAUUAUUCAUCCUAAGCUGACUAAUCCAUCAUACUCCAUUUCUUCCCUCAUCUCAUGUGUUCAAACAAAGCUAGAACAAUCUGAAAACUUAGCCCUGAACUAUUGGCUUACAGAAAGCACUCCCAACCCACUCCCUCACAGCACCAAAAAUUACUACUAUUCUACCCUGCUUCAUCAUGCCAAUGCUUGCUAUAGCUUAAACUUGUCUGUUCCCAACCAGGCUCCUGAAACUCAGCAGUGAGUGUGAUGGAGUCGGGAGAGACAGACACCCUGCGGUGAUGAGGCUAAGAUGCACCUCCUAAGAUGGAUUAAAGGCUUAUGGAAGAACCUCAAGCAACAUUUGGCUACCGUGCCAUUGAGGAUGAUACUCCUUCCCUCCAGGGAAGCACAAUACCAAAGUUACAACAUGGAAGCAGAGAUACUGGGCUACAGCUGGCACUCUUGUGGCCUCCCCAUCAACCAGAACUAUGAGAAUAUAAAUUCCUGCUCUUUAUAACUAUCCAGGCUCUGGUAUUUUGUUAUCUAGCAGGCAUAGAUGAACAUGUCACAAGAUGUUUAGUAUUUGGAUUCAUAGUUGACAAGAACACGACAAAGUCUAGUCACCCAACUUUGCAUAGCCUCAGCAUCUGGCCCCCUGCCUGAUAUGAAGAUACCUCAGAGUAUUUUAUGGAGUUCACAGAAGUAUUUAAAAGAACAGACCAUUUUCAAUCUUAAUCUCUGUUAGCUGUGAGACAUGUAUAUUAAAAAUUUCAAAGGAUUUAUUGGGAAAAGGUUGAAAAAUAACUUUGAGAGCAGUAAAUUAUCUAUAAUAGAAUACAAGACAGUGGUCUUUUAUCCAAUUUGUAAAUGUCUUCAAUACUAAACCUAAAUGAAAGAAGAAAUUGUAAAUAGCUUUUGUAAGUAUUUUAUGCUCUAAGGACUUUAUAAUUCCCACAAGUCAAAAUAUAUUCUAAGUGCCAGGCUUUAUAGUCAAGCUGACUCCUGUGAAACUGCAGCUGACUAUCACCUAACAGGUGUGUGAUGUAAAGAUGUGAUUUUACACUCUUCAGUUCCCCCCACCCCUCUCUUCUUUCUUUUUCACUUUUAUUUUGCGUAUAGAGCCUAAGGCUUCACAUACACGAGGCUAGCUUCUACCACUGAACUCAGUCUCCAGAUCUUGUACUGAGUUUCUCCAUCGACCAAUGUCUUCAUUAUUUUUCUAUGGCCGUGAUAAGACACCAUUGCCAAGGCAAAUUAUUGAAGAAAGAGUUAAUUUGAGAAUUACAGUUUCAG